UUUGACAAGCAGACUUGGGGCAGAUUGUCAACGAUUAUCUCUUGUUAUUGCGAAUGAUAUUAGUUUGAUCUUACGCAAUGUUCUUCAGGGGAUAGGUGCACUGAUCAAUUUGCUGAUAUUAUCUCGGCCUCUCGCAUUAUCAACAUUGUUUAUCUGCUGUGUGUUAUCUAUGAUUUUUCUUCUUUAUGGAUAGUACCAAAAGAAAGCUGCAAAGUUAGUCCAAGACUUCACUGCUGGUGCCAAUGAAGUAUAGACAGACUAUAGAUCCAAAAUGCUCCAAA